rnacentral:rRNA from 1 species
CCUACGGGGGGCAGCAGUGAGGAAUAUUGGUCAAUGGACGAGAGUCUGAACCAGCCAAGUAGCGUGAAGGAUGACUGCCCUAUGGGUUGUAAACUUCUUUUAUAUGGGAAUAAAGUUCUCCACGUGUGGGAUUUUGUAUGUACCAUAUGAAUAAGGAUCGGCUAACUCCGUGCCAGCAGCCGCGGUAAUACGGAGGAUCCGAGCGUUAUCCGGAUUUAUUGGGUUUAAAGGGAGCGUAGGUGGAUUUUUAAGUCAGUUGUGAAAGUUUGCGGCUCAACCGUAAAAUUGCAGUUGAAACUGGCAGUCUUGAGUGCAGUAGAGGUAGGCGGAAUUCGUGGUGUAGCGGUGAAAUGCUUAGAUAUCACGAAGAACUCCGAUUGCGAAGGCAGCUUACUGGACUGCAACUGACACUGAGGCUCGAAAGUGUGGGUAUCAAACAGGAUUAGAUACCCGAGUAGUC